rnacentral:rRNA from 1 species
AGGGUUCGAUCAUGGCUCAGGAUGAACGCUGGCGGCAUGCCUAAUACAUGCAAGUCGAACGGAGCGAAUAUGGAAGCUUGCUUCUGUAAGAGCUCAGUGGCGAACGGGUGAGUAACACGUAGGUAACCUGCCCAUGUGCCCGGGAUAACUGCUGGAAACGGUAGCUAAAACCGGAUAGGUGAAUAGGAGGCAUCUCGUAUUCAUUAAAGGACCUGCAAAGGUGCGAACAUGGAUGGACCUGCGGCGCAUUAGCUGGUUGGCGGGGUAACGGCCCACCAAGGCGACGAUCAGUAGCCGACCUGAGAGGGUGACCGGCCACAUUGGGACUGAGACACGGCCCAG